GACGAACGCUGGCGGCGUGCCUAAUACAUGCAAGUUGAGCGAUGAAGGUUGGUACUUGUACCGCCUGGAUGAGCAGCGGACGGGUGAGUAACGCGUGGGUAACCUGCCUUUGAGAGGGGGACAACUUCGGGAAACGAAUGCUAAUACCGCAUAAAAUCUUUAAACACAUGGUUUAAGAGUGAAAGAUGCAAUUGCUCCAACCAAUGGUGAGACCGCGUUGUAUUAGCUAGUUGGUAAGGGAAAGGCUCACCAAGGCAAUGAUGCGUAGCCGACCUGGGAGGGUGAUCGGCACCACUGGAACUGAGACACGGUCCAGACUCCUCGGGGAGGCGCAGUAGGGGAAUCUUCGGCAUUGGGGGAAGUCUGGACGGAGCAAGGCCGGUUGGGUGAUGAAGGUCUUCGGUCCGAAAAACCUUUUUGUAGGGAAGAACCAUGGUGGGAAUUAAAAACUCACGACUUGACGGUAACUAACCAGAAAGCCACGGCUAACUACGUG
rnacentral:rRNA from 1 species